rnacentral:tRNA from 1 species
GCCUGGAUGGCUCAGCUGGCUGAGCGUCCGACUUGGGCUCAGAUCAUGAUCUCCCAGCUUGUGAGUUCAAGCCCCACAUCAGGCU